rnacentral:rRNA from 1 species
AGUGAACGCUGGCGGUAGGCCUAACACAUGCAAGUCGAACGGCAGCACAGUAAGAGCUUGCUCUUACGGGUGGCGAGUGGCGGACGGGUGAGGAAUACAUCGGAAUCUACUUUUUCGUGGGGGAUAACGUAGGGAAACUUACGCUAAUACCGCAUACGACCUACGGGGGAAAGCAGGGGAUCUUCGGACCUUGCGCGAUUGAAUAAGCCGAUGUCGGAUUAGCUAGUUGGCGGGGUAAAGGCCCACCAAGGCGACGAUCCGUAGCUGGUCUGAGAGGAUGAUCAGCCACACUGGAACUGAGACACGGUCCAGACUCCUACGGGAGGCAGCAGUGGGGAAUAUUGGACAAUGGGCGCAAGCCUGAUCCAGCCAUACCGCGUGGGUGAAGAAGGCCUUCGGGUUGUAAAGCCCUUUUGUUGGGAAAGAAAAGCAGCAGGUUAAUACCCCGCUGUUCUGACGGUACCCAAAGAAUAAGCACCGGCUAACUUCGUG